rnacentral:rRNA from 1 species
AUUGAACGCUGGCGGCAGGCCUAACACAUGCAAGUAGAACGAGUGGCGGACGGGGGAGUAAUGGCGGGGAAACUGCCUGAUGGAGGGGGAUAACUACUGGAAACGGUAGCUAAUACAGCAUACCAUCGGAUGUGCCCAGAUGGGAGGAGCUAGUAGGUGGGGUAAAGCCUCACCUAGGAGACGAUCCCUAGCUGGUCUGAGAGGUUGACCAGCCACACUGGAACUGAGACACGGUCCAGACUCCUACGUGCGGCAGCAGUAGGGAGUAUUCCGCAAUGGGCGCAAGCCUGACGCAGCCAAGCCGCGUGUCUGAAGAAGGCCUUCGGAUCUUAAAGUACUUUCAUCGGGGAGGCGUUAGCCGAACAGGAAGCACCGGCUAACUCCGUGCCAGCCGCCGCGGUAAUUC